UUAGAGUUUGAUCCUGGCUCAGGAUGAACGCUAGCGGCAGGCUUAAUACAUGCAAGUCGAGGGGCAGCAUGGUGUAGCAAUACACUGAUGGCGACCGGCAAACGGGUGCGGAACACGUACGCAACUUACCCAAAACUGGGGAAUAGCCCGGGGAAACCCGGAUUAAUACCUCGUAACAUAAUGAGAAGGCAUCUUCUUAUUAUUAUAGCUCCGGCGGUUUUGGAUGGGCGUGCGCCUGAUUAGGUAGUUGGCGGGGUAACGGCCCACCAAGCCUGCGAUCAGUAACUGGUGUGAGAGCACGACCAGUCACACGGGCACUGAGACACGGGCCCGACUCCUACGGGAGGCAGCAGUAAGGAAUAUUGGUCAAUGGACGCAAGUCUGAACCAGCCAUGCCGCGUGAAGGAUGAAGGUCCUCUGGAUUGUAAACUUCUUUUAUAUGGGACGAAACCCGGGAAUUCCUUCCCGAUUGACGGUACCAUAGGAAUAAGCACCGGCUAACUCCGUGCCAGCAGCCGCGGUAAUACGGAGGGUGCAAGCGUUAUCCGGAUUCACUGGGUUUAAAGGGUGCGUAGGAGGGCAGGUAAGUCAGUGGUGAAAUCUCCGAGCUUAACUCGGAAACUGCCGUUGAUACUAUCUGUCUUGAAUAUUGUGGAGGUGAGCGGAACAUGUCAUGUAGCGGUGAAAUGCUUAGAUAUGACAUAGAACACCAAUUGCGAAAGGCAGCUCGCUACACAUAUAUUGACUCUGAGGCACGAAAGCGUGGGGAUCAAACAGGAUUAGAUA
rnacentral:rRNA from 1 species